AUUAAGUUCAAGAUGGGGAGGGGUUGGGGUGAGGGCUGGCCUGUCUGAGGAGGGGCAUUUGCAGUGCUGGAGCAAGCCAUGGAGGACAGGAAUUGCUCCAGUCAGAGGAACAGCAAGGACAAGGGGCCCAAGACGGCAUGUACUAGAGGCUCCACGCAUAGAAAAAGCCAGCCAUCCCCAGCGCUGUAACUGAGUGGCCAGUGGUGGGAGGUGAGGUCACAGACGCGGAGGGGGCAUACAUGGGGUACUGUGUCACGCAAGGUGCUGAGUGCUUUACCUGUGGUGUCUUAUUUGACCUUCACAAGCACCCUGAGAGGA
rnacentral:lncRNA from 10 species